AGUAUGUGCAAGAGCAGGAUUUUUUUUCGCCAGGCAGUUCUCAUCUCCAAGAAAGAUAAAGAAAAGAUUGAGACGAUGAAAGCUAGUUUCAUGUAUGUUCGUCUGCCGGGUUACAAUGUCGAAAGUGCCAAAGCUGCAGAGCUUGCUGAUGAGAGUAUGAGAGAUGGUCAACAAACACAAAUAGAUGGUCCUCCUACUUUAAUGCCUCCUAGUGGCGAAGAAGCCAAUAAGAAACCAAGGCCUAAAUAUGUGUUUGGCCGCAGUUUGCCUACUGAACAAGAGUUUGAAGUGUUGAAAAAUGCUC